rnacentral:rRNA from 1 species
AGCAGUAGCCGCGGUAAUACGAAGGGUGCAAGCGUUAAUCGGAAUUACUGGGCGUAGAGGGUGCGUAGGCGGUUGUUUAAGUCUGUUGUGAAAUCCCCGGGCUCAACCUGGGAAUGGCAAUGGAAACUGGACGGCUAGAGUGUGUCAGAGGAUGGUGGAAUUCCCGGUGUAGCGGUGAAGUGCGUAGAGAUCGGGAGGAACUUCAGUGGCGAAGGCGGCCAUCUGGGACAACACUGACGCUGAAGCACGAAAGCGUGGGGAGCAAACAGGAUUAGAUACCCCAGUAGUCCCUGUCUCUUAUAC